CCUACGGGAGGCAGCAGUAGGGAAUCUUCCACAAUGGGCGAAAGCCUGAUGGAGCAACGCCGCGUGGGUGAAGAAGGUCUUCGGAUCGUAAAACCCUGUUGUUAGAGAAGAAAGUGCGUGAGAGUAACUGUUCACGUUUCGACGGUAUCUAACCAGAAAGCCACGGAUAAAUACGUGCCAGCAGCCGCGGUAAGACGUAGGUGGCAAGCGUGAUCCGGAUUUAUUGGGCGUAAAGGGAACGCAGGCGGUCUUUUAAGUCUGAUGUGAAAGCCUUGGGCUUAAACGGUGUAGUGCAUUGAAAACUGGGGGACUUGAGAGGAGAAGAGGAAGGCGGAA
rnacentral:rRNA from 1 species